rfam:Otolemur garnettii contig114959, whole genome shotgun sequence.
GCCGGGCACUGUGGCCCGCAUCUGUACUCGGGCGGCUGAGACAAUAGGAUCUCUUGAACCCAGGAGAUCUGGGCUGUAGUGUGCUAUGCCCAUCAGGGGACCACACUGAGCUUGGCAUCAUAUGGUGACCUCCCAGGAGCGGGGGGCCACCAGGUUGCCUAAGGAGGGGUGAACCCAUCCAGGUCGGAAACAGAGCAAGGCAAACUCCUGUGCUGAUUAGUAGUGGGAUUGCCUCUGAAUAGCCACUGCACUCCGGCCUGGGCAACAUAGUGAGACCUGGUCUCGU